GAGGAAUAUUGGACAAUGGAUGGAAAUCUGAUCUAGCCAUGCCGCGUGCAGGAAGACGGCCCUAUGGGUUGUAAACUGCUUUUGUAUGGGAGCAAUAAGGACUACGUGUAGUUUGAUGAGAGUACCAUACGAAUAAGCAUCGGCUAACUCCGUGCCAGCAGCCGCGGUAAUACGGAGGAUGCGAGCGUUAUCCGGAUUUAUUGGGUUUAAAGGGUGCGUAGGCGGCGAUAUAAGUCAGUGGUGAAAUAUUUCGGCUUAACCGAGAGACUGCCAUUGAUACUGUGUUGCUAGAAUAUGGUUGCUGUGAGUGGAAUGUGUGGUGUAGCGGUGAAAUGCUUAGAUAUCACACAGAAUAUCGAUUGCGAAGGCAGCUCACAAAGCCAUUAUUGACGCUGAGGCACGAAAGUGUGGGGAUCAAACA
rnacentral:rRNA from 1 species